AGGAUAGUAGCUCAGUAGUAGAGCACGUGCUUAGCAUACACGAUGUUCUGGGUUCAAUCCCCAGUACCUCUG
rnacentral:tRNA from 1 species